rnacentral:rRNA from 2 species
GGACAGAAAGACCCUAUGAACCUUUACUGCACCCUGGCAGUGAACCCCGGUGCGUUAUGUGUAGGAUAGGUGGGAGGCUUUGAAGCCAGGCCGCUAGGCUUGGUGGAGCCGCUGGUGAAAUACCACUCUUAACGUAUUGGAGUUCUAACCCAGGCCCGUUAUCCGGGUCGGGGACAUUGUCAGGCGGGUAGUUUGACUGGGGCGGUCGCCUCCCAAAAGGUAACGGAGGCGCUCGAAGGUUCCCUCAGGCUGAUUGGAAACCAGCCGUAGAGCGCAAAGGCAGAAGGGAGCUUGACUGCGAGACCCACAAGUCGAGCAGGUACGAAAGUAGGACUUAGUGAUCCGGUGGUCCCGUAUGGAAGGGCCAUCGCUCAACGGAUAAAAGGUACUCUAGGGAUAACAGGCUGA